rnacentral:rRNA from 1 species
AACGCGAAGAACCUUACCCACCUUUGACAUGUACGGAAUCCUGCAGAGACGCAGGAGUGCUCGAAAGAGAGCCGUAACACAGGUGCUGCAUGGCUGUCGUCAGCUCGUGUCGUGAGAUGUUGGGUUAAGUCCCGCAACGAGCGCAACCCUUGCCAUUAGUUGCUACGAAAGGGCACUCUAAUGGGACUGCCGGUGACAAACCGGAGGAAGGUGGGGAUGACGUCAAGUCCUCAUGGCCCUUAUAGGUGGGGCUACACACGUCAUACAAUGGCUGGUACAAAGGGUUGCCAACCCGCGAGGGGGAGCCAAUCCCAUAAAGCCAGUCGUAGUCCGGAUCGCAGUCUGCAACUCGACUGCGUGAAGUCGGAGUCGCUAGUAAUCGUGGAUCAGCAUGUCACGGUGAAUACGUUCCCGGGUCUUGUACACACCG